GCGGGUCAUCCGGCCUCAAGUCCUCCGGGUCACCUCCUCCGAGUAUGACUUCUUCACCGUGCUCUUGGUUCCACUGAAUCUAUAGGAAGCGUAGUUCGUGAAGCGUGGACUAGGCGUCCCUGCGUGGCUCGGUCAGCUAAGCCUCGGCCUGCGGCUCAGGUCCUGAUCCCAGAGUCGUGGGGUCAGCCCCACGCUGGGCUCCGGGCGGAGGGAAGAGUCUGCUUCUCCGUCUCCCUCAGCCCCUCGCUACUUCCUCCCCGCACCUGUUCUCGCUCUCCUCUCUCUCAAA
rnacentral:lncRNA from 1 species